rnacentral:pre_miRNA from 1 species
UAUGAAGAGGAGUGAUUUCAGGUCAAGAAUUGAUCCAAUACCACCCCUCAAUGAAGAAAAUGGAAGAGAAAACUAGGGUCGGUUUGUUGGAAAGGGAUAUAUAGGAUUGUCAU